AUGAAUCAUAUAAUUGAGAGGCUUUUAGAAACAGAAUUUAGUACGCAUGUAAUCCCAGAAGUUGGGACAAGCGAGCUGCUUCUCCUUCACCAGUCCACGCUUUGCUUUCCCUUCAAGCCCAACAAGGUUGUCAUGUGUCCGCUGCAGCUAACAAACAACACUGAUAAACACGUUGCAUUUAGGCUUAUGGAAAAGAGCAUUAAGUCCUCCUUCCUAUUACUGCCAAUGUAUGGCCUUGUGCCGCCUAACACCCCUUACACUCUCAUUGUGACAACACAAGUGAACGAAGAACGACCACAAAAGUAUAUCAUAGAUGUGAUCCUGCAGAGUGCAACAUUAACAUUAGGGGAUGAUGAACAUAUAAACACUUUACGAAGCCAGCCAGACAAUUUUUUCCAAGAGAUGGGGAAUGCAGUGCAAGAGGUGAAACUGAAAGCAACUUAUACUCUGCCAGGACACAUCACAACAUCAUUUUCUAAGAUGAAUGGUGAUGUCGUUGGGGGGUGGAGCACCUAG
rnacentral:rRNA from 1 species